UGCGUAACAGCUCACUAGUCGAGGGUCCGGGCAUGGAUAAUAAUCGGGUAUAAGUCAGAUACCGAAGGCGCGGGAUAGUAAUGUAUAUUAAAAGUAUCGGUAGGGGAGCAUUCCAUCGACGUUGAAUGGUGAAGGUAACCGAUCCUGGAGUUUAUGGAAAAGCAAAUGUAGGUAUAAGUAACGAUAAAAAGGGUGAGAUUCCCUUUCGCCGAAAGACCGAGGUUUCCCGGGCGAUGCCAAUCAGCCCGGGGUUAGUCGGGUCCUAAGUCUCAGCCGAACGGCGAAGGCGAUGGCAGAUGCGGUUAAUAUUCCGCAACUCGCAUAUUCAGUGAUGUGGAGACGGAGCAGUGACACUGCCGCGCCCUGACGGAAUAGGGCGUUUAAGUGCGUAGGCUAUGAGGAAGGCAGGCAAAUCCACCUUCCGAGCUGAACCAUGAAAGUACAGGUAAUCCUUCGGGAUAACUUGAGUGCAGGUAAUCAUACUUCCGAGAAAAUCCGCUAAACUUAAUGUAUAUGCGACCCGUACCGCAAACGGACACACGUGGUCGGGUAGAAUAUACUAAGGCGUUGAGAGAUUCAUGGUUAAGGAACUAGGCAAAUUGACCCCGUAACUUCGGGAUAAGGGGUCCUCAUAGCAAUAUGAGGCGCAGAGAAUAGGUCCAGGCAACUGUUUAACAAAAACACAGGGCUGUGCAAACUCGAAAGAUGACGUAUACAGCCUGACACCUGCCCGGUGCUGGAAGGUUAAGAGGAGAUGUCACUAGUAAUAGGAAGCAUUGAAUUGAAGCCCCAGUAAACGGCGGCCGUAACUAUAACGGUCCUAAGGUAGCGAAAUUCCUUGUCGGGUAAGUUCCGACCUGCACGAAUGGUGUAAUGAUCCGGACGCUGUCUCAACCAUGAUCUCAGUGAAAUUGUAGUAUCGGUGAAGAUGCCGAUUACCCGCGAUGGGACGAAAAGACCCCGUGAACCUUUACUACAGCUUAGCAUUGACCUUGGUCAUCCGAUGUGUAGGAUAGGCCGGAGGCUUUGAAUCGGGUGCGCCAGCAUUCGUGGAGCCAUCCUUGAAAUACGGCCCUUUGGCUGUCUGAGGUCUAACGCGCCUGAGGUGCGGACACUGCUUGGUGGGUAGUUUGACUGGGGUGGUCGCCUCCAAAAGCGUAACGGAGGCUUCCAAAGGUGCCCUCGGGCCGAUUGGUAACCGGCCUUAUAGAGUGCAAUGGCAUAAGGGCGCUUGACUGGGAGGCAGACAUGCCGAGCAGGCAGGAAACUGGGGCAUAGUGAUCCGGCGGAUGUGUAUGGAAACUCCGUCGCUCAAAGGAUAAAAGGUACUCCGGGGAUAACAGGCUGAUCCCCCCCAAGAGCUCAUAUCGACGGGGUGGUUUGGCACCUCGAUGUCGGCUCGUCACAUCCUGGGGCUGGAGAAGGUCCCAAGGGUUGGGCUGUUCGCCCAUUAAAGUGGCACGCGAGCUGGGUUCAGAACGUCGUGAGACAGUUCGGUCUCUAUCUAUCGUGGGCGUUGGAGUUUUGAGUGGUGCCGUCACUAGUACGAGAGGACCGUGAUGGACAGACCUCCGGUUUACCAGUUGUGCCGCCAGGUGCACCGCUGGGUAUCUGAGUCUGGAUUGGAUAAGCGCUGAAAGCAUCUAAGUGCGAAGCCAGCCGCAAGAUGAGAACUCCUCAUAAGGGUCGUCAUAGACGAUGACGUUGAUAGGGUGUAGGUGUAAAGACGGUGACGUCAAAGCCGAGCACUACUAAUUGCCCGAAACUUUCUUCG
rnacentral:rRNA from 1 species